GCACUUCUCAGCUUCCUUUUGAUACUGUGAAGCGAGCCUUCGUGCCUCUCCAAAUGUAAUAUUCAUAUGGUGCAUGUUCUCCUCACCAACAAGUUCUUGUAGCUUCAACUCCUCAGUUAGAAGGUCAACAAAUUGUUUCUGCAUCUCUUCAUUUAGUUCAGGAUCAUUCUUCCCACAAUCUGAAGAGUCGAGCCGCAAGGACAUAACCAUUACAUAAUAUAUUAGAAACAGAAAGUUUCCAAAGUUCAUUUGUACAAGGAAUGCGGACUAUACUCAAGAAAAGUUGCAGGAUCUCUUCUACAAGUAAAAAACUGACACUAGUAAAAGGCCAUCAUAUAGACCAUAACUCCUGCUUAUACAUGCAUAUCAAGACACUGAAGUUGAAAAGGCACUAAUAAAAUUAAAACUGACUGUUCCAACAUUCAAAAUUAGAGGCAGUAAUCAGCUUCCUUGAAGCUAAACUUUUUCCCACAAGUAUUCACUUGCAGUAUAAUAUUCUAGUAACAUUGGGGGCCAAACGCAUAACGAUCACACAAAUAAUAAAUUUGUAGCAAAAAAGAAGAUAUUCCCAAAAAACUGGAGUAUUCAUUCAAUUUAUCUCUCACACAAACUUUCUAGAUCACUGUAGGCACAGAACCAUAGGUAACUUUAACUAUAGAGAUUUACAAUAAAAAGAAAACAUUAAUAACCAAAUGUUCAGCUCGAAUCAACAACCAUAAACCUUAAGUCAUGGAUUUGAAUUGUCAUCAAAUAUACUCCCUAGUAUUCAAGAAAUGGGGACUAUACUCAAGAAAAGUAAAAAAAGAUCUUGUGGAAGUGGAAAAUUGAUACUUUAAAAGGGGUUGCUUAGACAUGCCUAUAGAGACAGUGAGGUUGGAAGAAUACUAAUAAAAUUAAAUUGGCUGUUCCAACAAUCAAGUCAGAGGCAUUAAUUAGCUCCCUGUGCACCAAAACUCCAAUCCAAGAAUGGUUUCUACAAUCCACGAGUCUUCAAUCGCAGUUUAAUAUGCUAGUGCUAUUGGGGGGCCAAAUACAUAACAAUCUUAUAAAUACUGCAAAUGAAGCAAAAAGAUGACACUUCCGAAAACUGGAGUAUUUAUUCAAUUUAUCUCACACAGACUUUUCCGGAUCGCUCUAGGCACAAAAGCAUAGGUAGAUCAACAAUAGCAAUUUACAAAAAAAAAAGAAGAAGAAGAAGAAGAAGAAGAAAAGAGAAGAACAUCAAUAACCAAAUGUUCGGACUUCGGCUCAAGUAACAAUAACGACAAAAUUAGUCAUGGAUUCAAAUUUCAUAAGAUACACUUUCUUCGUCCCACUCAAACUGGCUUAUUUGGAUUUCUUGGUCGAAUUGACUGUUUUUGUUAUUCAAAUCAUGUGAUAUAUACAUUUUACAAAAACAAUGGUUUAAAAUAUUUAAUUUGAAAUUAAAAAAAAAGGAAGCUAGUUUGAGUUGGACAAAGGGAGUAAUUGGCAUACUCUAAUUUUAAAUGCCUUUCCUAAUAAAUUUGAACAGGUUUUACCAGUUGAUAGGGUGGAUGGAUUAUAUUAAAUACCAAGUCCAAAAGUAUUACAACACCCAAGCAUCUGACCGACUAAAUAUUAGCUCCCGUCCACACACUUUUCACUUCUUUUCAUCUAAAGCUGAACUGCCACAUUUACAUGUAUGCAUUCUUCUACACAGGAUACUUCGACAAAAAGAAAUUAACAUAUAUAAGGUCGGGUUUCGCGUGAUGGUUGGGUGUUUCUUGAUAUCCGCUAGAUCAGGGGUUUAAAACCCCUGAAGCGACCUGCUGCUUAAUUAGGGAUCCUUUCCUAGGUCAUAUUGAUGUAGCAGUCUUGUGUAUGGGCACGACCUUUGAUAUAGCAAGGGACAAAAUAUAGAUUGGUUGUCACAGAUGGCUAGAGCCUAGAAGAUUGGUGAAAUAAAUAAAAAAUCUACAAACUCCAGUAGGUGAGACCUUAGGCAAAAUCGAUACUCUCAGCUACAAUUUACAUGCAAUCCAGACCAAAGAGUCAGAGAAGUCGGAAUUUGGAAGAGAGUUGACAGAGACAGUUCGAUCCCAAAAAUACAGGAAGCUGCAAUUUGAAUGUAAUGUUUUAAAAACAGAGUAAAAGGCACGAGACUUUAAUUAAAUGUUUUUGACUUGCAACAAGGAGCCAAGACCGGGACUCCAUAAUCAAACAAUUCAUCUUGGACUCCUCAAGUCUCAACCCAAGCCAAUCAAAAAAUAAGUGUGUCCUCACACGAUUGCACUAUCCCUAGUUUCACACGAACCACGGGGCUAAUACAAUCUAAGGCAUUUAAUCCAUUUAGAUGUUUUAUAAACCACGAAAGCAUUUAGAUUUGGUAAGAUAUCCCAUUCAGGAUAUGAGUACAUGACUUCCUAAAGAAUGAGGUCAAGUCAUGGCGAAACUGCAAUUAACUAGUUCUCAACGAAGCUAAAAGUCAAGAGAUAAGCUCAAUACUUAUUACUUAUCCUUUAAAAUAUGGAUGCUUGCUUCAAACUGAGCUUGUAAAGAUAAUCUCAACUUUAUGUGGAAUGUUACCUGGAACAGAUAGAUUAACCAGACCUGAAAAGAGAUGAGGAAAACAAAAGAUUAGUUAUAUUAAUAUUUUAUUAAUGUGGAAAUCUUAUUUGGUUCAAUUUCCAAAAUAUCAAUAACAAGAAGAAAAAAAAUUACAAACACCAAAUACAAGAUAGUUUAGUUGCUGUAAUCUUUAUAUCUAGAAUGUGUCCUCAGUCCUCACUGACUAAUUAACAUAGCUAAAUCUUGUUCACUGAUGAACGAUGAUAAUGAGAUUAGUAAAUAAUAUAGAUAACAUGAGCAGAGAGAAGUAGCAGCAUCUAGAUUUUAAAGGUGUUCCUCUGUCCCUAUAUACCGAGUAAUCCUCCUAAAUGCAUCAAUUUUCUCUUUUACUAGACUCUAAGUUGUUUAUAUAGUAACAUUAAGAACCACGCACUGGUCAAGACAAGUCUAUAUAUCAUGUGCUAGUCCUAAUGAUAAUAGCUAGAGUAGAUAAUAAGUUAAAACAACUUCUACAAAUGAAAAAACCAAGAUUAGUCAUCAGUAUAUAUAUACGAAGCAUAUAGAAGAAAAUAUGAAUGUUACCCACACUCAGUUGGGGCUGUGGGUGUCGAACAUUGGUAAAAAUCAACUCGACAUAUACUUAAAUUUCAAAAAAUAUUAGAAUCUAGAACUGGACAAGAAUGCCGGAACUCAGGAUGCAAGGGUAACCCAUAAAAUUUUAUAUAUUCUUAAUUUUUGGACCAUUGGAAAUAUAAUCUAUUACCCCCAAAUAAGAUGGACUUGCAUCUAUAUAAAAAUAUAUGACACAUAUUUUCAAAAAAAUAAUUCAAAAACGAGUUGCCUAGGGGCCUUCAGUUACUAUAUAUGAUUGCCUAGGGGCCUUCAGUUACUAUAUAUAAUUGCCUAGGGGCAUCUAAAUCUUUAUAGAAAUUCCCAGAUAUACUUGUCAAAAUUGAACAUUCUACACGAUCAGGCAGAUUAUCAUCCAGAAUUGAACUAUCAGUUGAUAAUAUUUUUCCAAAUAAAUGACUUCUUAGUCAAUUCCCUCAACUUGUACCGGCUAGUAAGAAGUAUACAAAUUAUCUAUGGGUAUGCUGGGAUAUAAAGAUUUUAUUUCAAAUGAUGUUUUUCUUCCAAACGAUUUUGGAUUUAGAUUAGAUAAAGAGCACCUAAAUAUCAAUUUAAAAUGACAACACAAUUCACGAACAACUCCACAUUUAACACAAUUAUAUGAUAUUUCACAAUGACAUAGGUAAUUGUCACAAAAUUCACAAAUUAGGCCCUAAAUGUUGAUAACUAUCACUAUAAUACAUAAAAUUUAACAAAAAUCUAAACUUAAAAGAUGAGCACCAUAACAUUAUUAAGUCAAUANCAAUCAAAAAAUAAGUGUGUCCUCACACGAUUGCACUAUCCCUAGUUUCACACGAACCACGGGGCUAAUACAAUCUAAGGCAUUUAAUCCAUUUAGAUGUUUUAUAAACCACGAAAGCAUUUAGAUUUGGUAAGAUAUCCCAUUCAGGAUAUGAGUACAUGACUUCCUAAAGAAUGAGGUCAAGUCAUGGCGAAACUGCAAUUAACUAGUUCUCAACGAAGCUAAAAGUCAAGAGAUAAGCUCAAUACUUAUUACUUAUCCUUUAAAAUAUGGAUGCUUGCUUCAAACUGAGCUUGUAAAGAUAAUCUCAACUUUAUGUGGAAUGUUACCUGGAACAGAUAGAUUAACCAGACCUGAAAAGAGAUGAGGAAAACAAAAGAUUAGUUAUAUUAAUAUUUUAUUAAUGUGGAAAUCUUAUUUGGUUCAAUUUCCAAAAUAUCAAUAACAAGAAGAAAAAAAAUUACAAACACCAAAUACAAGAUAGUUUAGUUGCUGUAAUCUUUAUAUCUAGAAUGUGUCCUCAGUCCUCACUGACUAAUUAACAUAGCUAAAUCUUGUUCACUGAUGAACGAUGAUAAUGAGAUUAGUAAAUAAUAUAGAUAACAUGAGCAGAGAGAAGUAGCAGCAUCUAGAUUUUAAAGGUGUUCCUCUGUCCCUAUAUACCGAGUAAUCCUCCUAAAUGCAUCAAUUUUCUCUUUUACUAGACUCUAAGUUGUUUAUAUAGUAACAUUAAGAACCACGCACUGGUCAAGACAAGUCUAUAUAUCAUGUGCUAGUCCUAAUGAUAAUAGCUAGAGUAGAUAAUAAGUUAAAACAACUUCUACAAAUGAAAAAACCAAGAUUAGUCAUCAGUAUAUAUAUACGAAGCAUAUAGAAGAAAAUAUGAAUGUUACCCACACUCAGUUGGGGCUGUGGGUGUCGAACAUUGGUAAAAAUCAACUCGACAUAUACUUAAAUUUCAAAAAAUAUUAGAAUCUAGAACUGGACAAGAAUGCCGGAACUCAGGAUGCAAGGGUAACCCAUAAAAUUUUAUAUAUUCUUAAUUUUUGGACCAUUGGAAAUAUAAUCUAUUACCCCCAAAUAAGAUGGACUUGCAUCUAUAUAAAAAUAUAUGACACAUAUUUUCAAAAAAAUAAUUCAAAAACGAGUUGCCUAGGGGCCUUCAGUUACUAUAUAUGAUUGCCUAGGGGCCUUCAGUUACUAUAUAUAAUUGCCUAGGGGCAUCUAAAUCUUUAUAGAAAUUCCCAGAUAUACUUGUCAAAAUUGAACAUUCUACACGAUCAGGCAGAUUAUCAUCCAGAAUUGAACUAUCAGUUGAUAAUAUUUUUCCAAAUAAAUGACUUCUUAGUCAAUUCCCUCAACUUGUACCGGCUAGUAAGAAGUAUACAAAUUAUCUAUGGGUAUGCUGGGAUAUAAAGAUUUUAUUUCAAAUGAUGUUUUUCUUCCAAACGAUUUUGGAUUUAGAUUAGAUAAAGAGCACCUAAAUAUCAAUUUAAAAUGACAACACAAUUCACGAACAACUCCACAUUUAACACAAUUAUAUGAUAUUUCACAAUGACAUAGGUAAUUGUCACAAAAUUCACAAAUUAGGCCCUAAAUGUUGAUAACUAUCACUAUAAUACAUAAAAUUUAACAAAAAUCUAAACUUAAAAGAUGAGCACCAUAACAUUAUUAAGUCAAUAUAUAAAGGGUCUUUCUAGUGUGUGCCCAUGGGCACACAUUAAGCACUAAAUUUGAUAAAUUUGGUGGAUUUUGAUUGGUGGACUUGAUGCAUAUGCAGGGGGGUCAUCCUUAUUUAUGAUUAGAUGACCAAUAAAAAUGCACCAAACUUAUAGGAGUUGGUGCUUAAUGUGUGCCCAUGGGCACACCAUAGAAAAACCGAUAUAUAAAUUAUGCUCCAAAAGUAUGUUAAUCGCCAACUCAUAGAUACAAGUUGAGUCAACAACCAAACCUAUCCCAAAUCCCCAAAUCAACACAACCAAAGCUAAGCAAGUUCAACACAUUCAUAAAGCGUAACAAACAUAAACUAAAGCACGCAUGUUUGCCAAAGAUUAUCAAAUAUCAAUUAUAGGAGUACUAGACAAAACUACAAAAUCACAUAUAAAUCAGCAAUGAUAUCACAUUUACACCAAUCCAAGUAAACACAAUACAAAUGCAGAGAGAGAGAGAGAGACAGGGAGAACACAUUUUGCCCCAAGAUAAUCAAUUACACCAAACAAAAGCACAACAUUGCACAUAAAAAGUCAAAGGGUCAUCCAAGAUAUCACAUUUACAGCAAUCCUGGGAGAGAGAGAGAGAGAGAGAGAGAGAGAUGUACCAGGAGCAAUCUUGAGGAGAGAGAGAGGAGGAGGGCAAUGACAAUCACAAACAGGACAAGCAGAAGCAGGUCCUCUAAAAGAGAGACUAUCUUUCUUGAACUUGGAAUAAAGAGCAGGCCCACAAACACAGAGAGCAGAAACAGUGGCAAACACAACCAAACAGCUCCUCACCCAUGUACCACUCGAACCACUUCGCCGAGACAUUUUGAUCAAAACACCCUUGUAAUACCCAGAUCAGAUCUACUGGUUUGUGUUGAG
rnacentral:lncRNA from 1 species